rnacentral:rRNA from 1 species
GACGAACGCUGGCGGCGUGCUUAACACAUGCAAGUGGAGCGACGAACCAGGGCUUGCCCUGGGGCAGAGCCGCGAACGGGUGAGUAACACGUGGGUAACGUGCCCCGAUGACUGGGACAACCCGGGGAAACCCGGGCUAAUACCGGAUGUUCCCCCUCACAUCAGUGAGGUGUGUAAAGGAAGCUUCGGCCUCCGCAUCGGGAUCGGCCCGCGGCCCAUUAGCUUGUUGGUGAGGUAACGGCUCACCAAGGCUGCGAUGGGUAGCUGGUCUGAGAGGACGAUCAGCCACACUGGGACUGAGACACGGCCCAGACUCCUACGGGAGGCAGCAGUGGGGAAUCUUGCGCGAUGCGCGAAAGCGUGACGCAGCAACGCCGCGUGGGGGAAGACGGCCUUCGGGUUGUAAAGCCCUUUCAGUUGGGACGAAGGUCGGGCGGUUAACAGCCGUUCCGGCUGACGGUACCUUCACAAGAAGCCCCGGCUAACUACGUG